GCUCAAUUGAUUGUUUUUUGUUUUUUAUUUUUUAUUUUUUUUUAUAUUCUAAUCAUUUUUUACCUUUUGUGCAUGUUAAAAUUGGCUCUAGAAUGUGAGGAUUACAGAGAAAAUCAAAGAAGUCAGCUUGGAUCCUCAGAGCUGAUCGGCUCAAUGCAGAGUGAAUUAGUUUUGUGUAUCUAGCUUCUACUGGUGGUUUUGACAAGGAUAAGACCGGUUCUUGGCUAUUGAAUUUUACUCAUAAGCUUGGUUUGUGUUCUCCAUUUGAAGUAGAGCCACGUGUCACACCAUGAAGCUCAAAUUCAAAAAAUUUACCGAGAUUAUUAGAGUAAUGUAGAAUUUUUUAGAAUAAAACUCACGUGACAGACGAGGCGUGUUGGAUGGUCUUCCUUUGGCUUGGGAUAAGGGUUUCACAAAAGUGGAUUUGGAGCUUAAUUCAUC
rnacentral:lncRNA from 1 species